rnacentral:misc_RNA from 1 species
CCCCUUCGCAGCUCCUCCACCCAGCUGAUUUGACGUCACAUAUGGAGCCACAAUAUUGGUCAACGAGAGAGAGAGACCACAGAAAAGUUCUCUCUCUCUCUCUCUUUGACUAAUAUCGUGGCUCUAUAUAUGUGACAUCAAUCAGCUGGGUGGAGCUGGGAAGGGGGAGCUGGAGGGAAGGCGCACGAUUUCACGAGGAGCACGAUUAUACGCUACACCGGGAAUCGAGGCGAGCGGGCGGGAUGGUUUCUUUACGAGGAAACGAGUGCAGAACUGUAUUGUCUGAAAUCAAAAGUGACUGAUCAAGUACAAUGUGUGGCAUCUGCUUCUUUUGUGGUGUUGGACUUUCUGUCCAGCAACUGGAACAUCAGGAAGAACUAAGCUGUAGAUUGCUGAGUCACCGUGGCCCAGAUAUUCAUGCCAAGGAGGUCAUCUCUAUCACUGAAAAGGUGACUGGUGUAUUUGAAGGAAAUGUGUUGUGGCUUCAAGGACCUCAGCCCACCUCACAGCCUCUCCUGGACUCCCAUGGCAGCGUCCUGCUUUGGAAUGGAGACAUCUUGGCUGGACACACGGUUCCCUGUGACAUGAGUGACACUCAGUAUGUGGCAGAGCAACUUGCCUUGGGACAGCUGGAGCAAGUGCUGUCAUUCCUAGCUGGCAUCAAAGGUCCCUGGGCCCUUGUUUACUUCCACCGUCCCUCCAAAAAACUGUACUUUGGUAGGGAUGUAUUUGGUCGUCACAGCUUGUUGUGGCAGCCACCCUCACAUUCGCUACCCUGGCUGCGUGUAACCUCGGUGUGGCAGCAGUGUAGCCAGAUGCAAGAAGUGAUGGCUUAUGGUCUCUACACCAUAGAUUUUUCUUCUGUAACCUUGGAUGAGGGAUUUAAAAUAGAUCUGGUGCCUUGGUCACACUUAUCAGUGGAUGAUCUGCCUUCACUUCACCCAGCAAUAGAAGUGAAACAGCAGGUAAAACUAGGAUCAGGCUUGAAGCACUCUCUCAAUAUGAGUCUGCCUUCCAUGGCCAUCCUUGAGCAGUUAAAUAGUUUGCCAUCCACAAUGGAACAUCACAACCUGGAGGCCUUCAGUGCUGUCCUGGGAAGUAAUGUUGAGCAGCUCAUGGAGGUUCUGAUCCAAGCAGUGCAGCGGAGGGUAGACAAGUGCCCACCCUGCUGUCAAUUCUGUACUGCCUCACCCAGCCUCUGCCACCAUUCUAGGAUUGCUGUGUUGUUCUCUGGAGGUUUGGAUUCUGCUAUGCUUGCCCUCCUUCUUGACUUCUGCAUACCAAAGGAAGAGAGUAUUGAUUUGCUGAAUGUUGCUUUUCCUACUAGAGUAUAUUCUAAUAAUAAUGCUAAGGGUAAGAUUAAGCCAAAGCACAAGCCAAGCAAUCAUGUACCAUCUUCUGUGAGCUUUGAGGUUCCAGACAGAAUUGCUGGCAGGGAAUGUUGGCAGCAACUGCAGCAGCUCAGACCCCAUAGAGACUGGAAUUUUGUGCAGAUUGAUGUGACGAGUGAGGAGCUGUGCCUAGAGAGGGAGAGGAUCAUCCGACACCUUGUAGCUCCUCUGUCUUCUGUCCUUGACGACAGUAUUGGCUGUGCCCUUUGGUUUGCUGGUCGAGGUGAAGGAUCAGUUAAGGGUUGUCCCUAUGUUUCACCUGCACGGGUACUGCUUUGUGGUCAAGGUGCAGAUGAGCAGCUUGGGGGGUAUUCACGCCAUCGGGGACGUUUUGGUACAGGAGGCUGGUCAUCUCUUCUGGAGGAGAUAAAGAUGGAAGUUGCUCGUAUUCACACCAGGAACUUGGGUCGAGACAACCGUAUCUUGGCCCAUCAUGGCCGAGCCCCACGAUUUCCAUACUUAGAUGAAGAUGUAGUGACCACUCUCAACAAGAUGCCUAUAUGGAUAAAGGCGAACUUGCUCCUGGGACGAGGUACAGGAGAAAAACUGUUGCUUCGUCUGGCUGCUGCCACACUUGGCCUCACUAAGGCAGCCAACCUUCCAAAACGAGCUAUUCAGUUUGGCUCCAGAAUUGCCAAGCUGGAGGACCAAAAAGAGAAAGGCUCUGACCAAUGCUAUCGCCUUAGAUGUGAUCCUGCUGACUCUGAUGUGACAUGAUUGACUGGUGAAUGAUCUAGUGGUAUCAAGUGGCUGUGUCACAUAUUUACCCAUGGCCAAGAGGACCUAGAUUCAAGUCUUUUGCUGACAGAGACAACCUGGGCCUGUCCCUUUUAUGCUGUAGCUCCUACUCUUUCAACUGAGAAAAGCUUCUUGGAACCAUGACUCGAUGCUAUCUGAUGGUGAGGAGUAACAGCAACUUCAUGAUCAUAACAAAACACAUCAACAUCCUCACCAUUAUGGCAGCAGGACGAAAGAGAUCGAGCUAUAUAAUCUCCUACAAACUACAAGUGAUAAACUAUGCCAAGAAACAACAGAGCUGUGGCAAGGGAUUUUGGACCACCACCUAUGGAAAAAAUUAAUCGUGUCUGGUGACAACAAGAAAACAAGAAGAGUGCAAGAAAAG